rnacentral:rRNA from 1 species
UACGAAGGGGGCUAGCGUUGCUCGGAAUGACUGGGCGUAAAGGGCGCGUAGGCGGUUGACACAGUCAGGCGUGAAAUUCCUGGGCUUAACCUGGGGGCUGCGCUUGAUACAUGUUGACUUGAGUGUGGAAGAGGGUCGUGGAAUUCCCAGUGUAGAGGUGAAAUUCGUAGAUAUUGGGAAGAACACCGGGUGGGCGAAGGCGGCA